UACAGAGGUCUCAAGCGUUGUUCGGAUUCAUUGGGCGUAAAGGGCGCGCAGGCGGCCACGCGCGUCCGUUGUGAAAUCGCUCGGCUCAACUGGGCGAGGUCAGCGGAUACGGCGUGGCUGGAGCAAGCUAGGGGGCAAUGGAAUUCCCGGUGUAGUGGUGGAAUGCGUAGAUAUCGGGAGGAACACCAGUGGCGAAGGCGGUUGCCUGGAGCUUUGCUGACGCUGAGGCGCGAAAGCGUGGGGAGCGAUCCGG
rnacentral:rRNA from 1 species